rnacentral:rRNA from 1 species
GACGAACGCUGGCGGCGUGCUUAACACAUGCAAGUCGAACGGAAAGGCCCUGCUUGCAGGGUACUCGAGUGGCCGACGGGUGAGUAACACGUGGGUACUCUGCCCUGCACUUCGUGAUAAGCGUGGGAGACUGGGUCUAAACCCGGAUACGAGACACGUCUAGUGUGAUGGAUGGAAAGAUUUUUGGGGGUAGGAUGAGCUGGCGGCCUAUCAGCUGGUUGGUGGGGUAAUGGGCUACCAAGGCGGCGAGGGGUAGCCGGCCUGCGGGGGUGGACGGCUGCACUGGGUCUGAGGGGAGGCCGCGGUGGCGACGGGAGGCAGAAGUGGGGAAGAUUGCACAAGCGGCGCCAGGCUGGUGCAGAGACGCCUCGGGGGGGAAGACGGCCUUCGUGUUGAAGAAUCGCUGCGCGAGGGACGAAGCCUUUUGUGACGGUACCUAGAGAAGAAGCACCGGCUAACUACGUG